rnacentral:rRNA from 1 species
UACGUAGGUGGCAAGCGUUACUCGGAAUCACUAGGCGUAAAGCGCAGGUAGGAGGUUCGAUAAGUCUGCUGUGAAAGCUCCCGGCUUAACUGGGAGAGGUCAACGGAAACUGUCGAGCUAGAGUGUGGUAGAGGUAGCUGGAAUUCCCGGUGUAGCGGUGAAAUGCGUAGAUAUCGGGAGGAAUACCUAUGGCGAAAGCAGGCUACUGGACCAUCACUGACUCUGAUCUGCGAAAGCUAGGGGAGCAAACAGG